UGGCUUGGUUGUAGGAUUUAUUUAUCUGGCCAGACAUUCUUGUCACCUUACCCAGAACUCCACACAUGUAAAAAGUUGUUUUAAAAUGAAGUCAGUCCAUGUCCCUGGAGAUGUUUCCCUUCACCUUUGUUAAUCACAUGCAAAGGACUGGAGUUAGACAAGCAGAUAGCUGAUCUUUGCUGGCCACAAGCUAUUACUUCAGGUGCUGUGUUUGACAAUUCUUAGCCUCUGGAAGGUGUUGUUUUUUUUUUUUUAAGGCAAUCUGUUCCUCUCCUU